AGCUUGCUACCUGACCUAGCGGCGGACGGGUGAGUAAUGCUUAGGAAUCUGCCUAUUAGUGGGGGACAACAUUCCGAAAGGAAUGCUAAUACCGCAUACGCCCUACGGGGGAAAGCAGGGGAUCUUCGGACCUUGCGCUAAUAGAUGAGCCUAAGUCAGAUUAGCUAGUUGGUGGGGUAAAGGCCUACCAAGGCGACGAUCUGUAGCGGGUCUGAGAGGAUGAUCCGCCACACUGGGACUGAGACACGGCCCAGACUCCUACGGGAGGCAGCAGUGGGGAAUAUUGGACAAUGGGCGAAAGCCUGAUCCAGCCAUGCCGCGUGUGUGAAGAAGGCCUUUUGGUUGUAAAGCACUUUAAGCGAGGAGGAGGCUACUUGGAUUAAUACUCUAGGAUAGUGGACGUUACUCGCAGAAUAAGCACCGGCUAACUCUGUGCCAGCAGCCGCGGUAAUACAGAGGGUGCGAGCGUUAAUCGGAUUUACUGGGCGUAAAGCGUGCGUAGGCGGCUUUUUAAGUCGGAUGUGAAAUCCCUGAGCUUAACUUAGGAAUUGCAUUCGAUACUGGGAAGCUAGAGUAUGGGAGAGGAUGGUAGAAUUCCAGGUGUAGCGGUGAAAUGCGUAGAGAUCUGGAGGAAUACCGAUGGCGAAGGCAGCCAUCUGGCCUAAUACUGACGCUGAGGUACGAAAGCAUGGGGAGCAAACAGGAUUAGAUACCCUGGUANUCCAUGCCGUAAACGAUGUCUACUAGCCGUUGGGGCCUUUGAGGCUUUAGUGGCGCAGCUAACGCGAUAAGUAGACCGCCUGGGGAGUACGGUCGCAAGACUAAAACUCAAAUGAAUUGACGGGGGCCCGCACAAGCGGUGGAGCAUGUGGUUUAAUUCGAUGCAACGCGAAGAACCUUACCUGGUCUUGACAUAGUAAGAACUUUCCAGAGAUGGAUUGGUGCCUUCGGGAACUUACAUACAGGUGCUGCAUGGCUGUCGUCAGCUCGUGUCGUGAGAUGUUGGGUUAAGUCCCGCAACGAGCGCAACCCUUUUCCUUAUUUGCCAGCGGGUUAAGCCGGGAACUUUAAGGAUACUGCCAGUGACAAACUGGAGGAAGGCGGGGACGACGUCAAGUCAUCAUGGCCCUUACGACCAGGGCUACACACGUGCUACAAUGGUCGGUACAAAGGGUUGCUACCUAGCGAUAGGAUGCUAAUCUCAAAAAGCCGAUCGUAGUCCGGAUUGGAGUCUGCAACUCG
rnacentral:rRNA from 1 species